rnacentral:rRNA from 1 species
CCUACGGGGGGCAGCAGUGAGGAAUAUUGGUCAAUGGAGGCAACUCUGAACCAGCCACGUCGCGUGAAGGAAGACGGCCCUACGGGUUGUAAACUUCUUUUGCAAGGGAAUAAAGUGAGUCACGUGUGACUUUUUGCAUGUACCUUGCGAAUAAGGAUCGGCUAACUCCGUGCCAGCAGCCGCGGUAAUACGGAGGAUCCGAGCGUUAUCCGGAUUUAUUGGGUUUAAAGGGUGCGCAGGCGGGAGAUUAAGUCGGUGGUGAAAUUUUGCGGCUCAACCGUAACAGUGCCAUUGAUACUGGUUUCCUUGAGUGUGGAUGAAGUAGGCGGAAUUUGUGGUGUAGCGGUGAAAUGCAUAGAUAUCACGAGGAACUCCGAUCGCGUAGGCAGCUUACUAAACCAUAACUGACGCUCAUGCACGAAGGCGUGGGGAUCAAACAGGAUUAGAUACCCCUGUAGUC